ensembl:snoRNA SNORA70 Small nucleolar RNA SNORA70
GUGCAGCCAAUUAAACCAACCAAGGUCCUUUUCUCAUCUGGCCUGGUGUGCAAUAGCAGCAAACAGCAGCCUCUUUGCUAGUAUAUUCAGCCUGUUCCUUGCAAGGGUUGCCCUAAGUGACCUUCGAGACAGUU